AUACGUAGGUGGCAAGCGUUGUCCGGAAUUAUUGGGCGUAAAGCGCGCGCAGGCGGUCCUUUAAGUCUGAUGUGAAAGCCCACGGCUCAACCGUGGAGGGUCAUUGGAAACUGGGGGACUUGAGUGCAGAAGAGGAAAGUGGAAUUCCAAGUGUAGCGGUGAAAUGCGUAGAGAUUUGGAGGAACACCAGUGGCGAAGGCGACUGUCUGGUCUGUAACUGACGCUGAGGCGCGAAAGCGUGGGGAGCAAACAGGAUUAGAUACCCUGGUAGUCCACGCCGUAAACGAUGAGUGCUAAGUGUUAGGGGGUUUCCGCCCCUUAGUGCUGCAGCUAACGCAUUAAGCACUCCGCCUGGGGGGUACGGUCGCAAGACUGAAACUCAAAGGAAUUGACGGGG
rnacentral:rRNA from 1 species